rnacentral:lncRNA from 1 species
AACAAAGUACCAAACACUUUGGGUACCAUAUUUUCACUUUCAAAAAUUUAUUCAAAGCAAGGCAGUUACAAAUAACAGCCCGAGUAAUAUACUAAUAUCAAGGUCCUAAGACAUCAAGAAGCUCCGAAUUCUCAUAGCUCAUUAUUCAAGAUCAUCUGCAAUGCACUACAAUAAAUUGUACCAAUAAUGCUUUAUAAUGAAUGAGAAAACUAAUGAAAUCACCAUGUAUGUUGAGUAUAAUUGGGUAGUAAACAACAAAUGUUGUGGAAUGAAAUCACUAUAAAAAAAUAAAAUAAAACAAUAAAUGUUGUGGGAAUGAAAUCACCAUAUAUGUUGAGUAUAAUUGGGUAGUAAACAAAGUACCAAAACACUUUGGGUUCCAUAUUUUCACUUUCAAAAAUUUAUUCAAAGCAAGGCAGUUAAAAAUAGCAGCCCGAGUAAUAUACUAAUAUCAAGGUCCUAAGACAUCGAGAUGCUCCGAAUUCUCAUAGCUCAUUAUUCAAGAUAAUCUGCAAUUCACUACAAUAAAUUGUACCAAUAAUGCUUUAUAAUGA